rnacentral:lncRNA from 1 species
CAAGAAAUGAGGGUGGUACGUUGAAGCGAUGGAGAAAGGAUGGAAUGCCACAGCGGUCGAGGCUGAGAGUGGGGACCAAAGCCUGGGACCAGUGUUAAUUUAGAGGAGGCCAGAAUUGAGAGAAUUGAAGGAAAACAGUGGGGGAGCCUGGAAUCAAAUCCCAUGUGAAGCAUGCUCUCCUUCUAGACCCUUCUGUAGGGACUGACAACAAAUGUAUCUACUAGAGAUUCUGACUUUUGACCCCACCUGUCAACAACUGAGAAGGAAAGGAGAGAUAAGGAGUGAGGAUCGUCCACAAAUAAGUAUGUGGAUUUUAAAGCUGUGGGACUGGGUGAGAUCAGCUAGAGAAAUCAGCAGAUGAAGAAAGAAGAAAAGCUGGUGGUCUAGGCCAGGAUCUACCCUGAGGCCUUCCAACUUUCAGAGGUAGGUGUGUAUGUGUAUACAUGCAUAGAUACGUAUACACACAUAUCCCAGAAACUAGAAAUAUGUACAUAGACCUAUAAAACUUUUUUGAUUUGCUCCUAUAUUUAU